CUUUCUCCGCCGGCGACCGGCGCACGGGUGAGUAACACGUAUGCAACCUGCCCCUGUCAGGGGGACAACCCGCCGAAAGGCGGGCUAAACCCGCGUACAUGCCACCGGGGCAUCCCGGAGGCAGGAAAGGCUUCGGCCGGACAGGGAUGGGCAUGCGGCGCAUUAGGGCAGGUAGGCGGGGUAACGGCCCACCUAACCGACGAUGCGUAGGGGUUCUGAGAGGAAGGUCCCCCACACUGGUACUGAGACACGGACCAGACUCCUACGGAAGGCAGCAG
rnacentral:rRNA from 1 species